rnacentral:rRNA from 1 species
GCUACCCAUAUGCUUCGGGGAUAAACUUUUGGAAACGGGGUCUAAUACCGGGAUGUCCUGUCUGGUCGCAAUGGCUCGGCGGGAAAAGAAGUUUAUUCGGCGGGAGAUGCGCUCGCCCACUAUCAGCUUGUUGGUGGGAAAAAGCCUACCAAGGCGUCGACGAGUAGCCGCCUAAGAAGGGAUUUCGGCCACACUAGACUGAGAUACGGCCCCAGACCCUACGGGAGACAACAGUGGGGGAUAUAGCACAAUAUGCGCAAACCAGAUGCAACGACCCGCGGGGGGAUGGAACUUUCGGGUUGUAAAACCCUUUCGGCGCGGGACAAGGCUCCGUUUGGCGGGGUUGAGAGUACGCGUCAAAGAAGCGCCGGCUAACUACGUGCCAGCAGCCGCGGUAAUACGUAGGGCGCGAGCGAUGUCCGGAAUUAAAGAGCGUAAAAGGCCGUAGGCGGCUUGUCGCGUCUGCUGUGAAAAACGCGGGGCUCAACUCCGCGCGUGCAGUGGGUACGGGCAGACUGGAGUGCGGCAGGGGUGGCAGGAAUUACUGGUGUAGCGGUGGAAUGCGCAGAUAUCAGGAAGAACACCGAUGGCGAAGGAGGCCACUGGGCCGUCACUGACGCUGAGGAGCGAAAGCGUGGGGAGCGAACAGG